rnacentral:rRNA from 1 species
UACGUAGGGAGCAAGCGUUGUCCGGAAUCAUUGGGCGUGAAGCGCGUGUAGGCGGUCCGGUAAGUCCGCUGUGAAAGUCGGGGGCUCAACCCUCGGAUGCCGGUGGAUACUGUCGGGCUUGAGUACGGAAGAGGCGAGUGGAAUUCCUGGUGUAGCGGUGAAAUGCGCAGAUAUCAGGAGGAACACCAAUUGCGAAGGCAGCUCGCUGGGACGUUACUGACGCUGAGACGCGAAAGCGUGGGGAGCAAACAGG